AAUCAUCGCUGAUCGGUUGGUUCCCGGAAUGCGAACGCGUUUCGGGAGUAAACGGGAACGUGACGGAUGGACCCAAGCUGGGCAUCUCAAUCACGGCCGACCCCGCGACUGUAGAGCGGCGUGAAUUUGUCGUUCCGGAGCAAUCCGGGAGAAGCCACUGGGUAUAAACCGCGAGAGGGCGGUUCGAAUCUGGGAAGGCGAGGCAAGUUCCUUGGUGUCUAAUCUAGACAUCUGACGCCGUGAGCCAGGAAACCUGCCAAGCGAUACGGGCAUAG
rnacentral:ncRNA from 2 species